GGGGGUGAAUUGGGCUCGACUUAGGCCGUCGGGUAAGAGCAGCAUGUCGCGGACGCAUGGUUAGCCGCGUUAAUAACCCGUGCACAAUAUAAACGCAAGAACAGUAUCAAGUUCUAUAGCAAACGAGAGAUAUAGUGUUGUUCCGCAAAUCGGAAUGCCUAUGUCUUUUCCUGCUAUGGCGUUAAAAGCCAUUCCUUAAUAAAAUAAGGAAUGCCUCAAUCUGAUCUGCCUAAGGGUUGGAAUUGAGCGCUAAUUUAGGCUGGUCUUCUGCUAGUUGCCUUGCGGCAGGGGAUAAGAGCGGUAAAAGGCUGCGCUUUGCAAAUCCUGCCCCGCAGGAGUUGCAAGAGCAAGUUUAAAAUGCGGGGCUAAACAUGUAGCGGCUUUUAUUCGUUUGUUUAAGGACGCCGGUUCGAUUCCGGCCACCUCCACCA
rnacentral:tmRNA from 1 species